rfam:Plasmodium berghei strain K173 genome assembly, chromosome: 10
AUAAAGCUACGUUUUUGUGCUCAUCCCAUGUAUCAGUGGAAGGGAGAAAAAUAUGUAUGUUGUACAUAUAUUAAAAUUUCUUCAUUCCGCUUAUCUUUUGUGAUACAAGGGUAAAAAAACAUUAUAUUUUAUAUCUCAUGUAUAUUUUCAUUUUAUUUAUAAGUUUUUUAUAAAUAAAAUUAUAACUAUAAAUAUAUAUGUUUCAUGCGAUAUAGACAAAAAAAUUGCUAUAAGUCAUGCAAGAUAUAAGUAUGUGCAUGAUGAUAU